GCAUCAAUGGGGUAGUGGUAACCUGGGUCGUUGCCAUCAGACUGAAAGAUGAGUUUGUCGACCCGCCGGGGGUUCGAUUCCUCCCUCUUGAUGCA